rnacentral:misc_RNA from 1 species
UUUUGAGUACGAACGUCCUGGCCGGAUUGUCGUUCACCUAGAAUGUCAAGAGUUUGUGCCGCGAUUGCCAUUUCUGCUUCGCGCGUCGGAAACGUCAAACCCUAGGUCGGAUCUGCGAGUACUGGUGGAGAAGGGGCGUUUGUUUUCUGGAAGUUCAGAGGAAAUGAUGAACUGCAACCCCCAGAUUAUGAAAAAUAGGACGUGUCUCGAAUUUUCAGAUGGAAGAAGACGCCUCAGCUUAGCAGGAAGGGUGGGGAAUGCCAGAUGAUGUCGUUUUGUU